rnacentral:rRNA from 1 species
UACGUAGGGGGCAAGCGUUGUCCGGAUUUAUUGGGCGUAAAGAGCGUGUAGGCGGCUAGGUAGGUCCGUUGUGAAAACUCGAGGCUCAACCUCGAGACGUCGAUGGAAACCAUCUAGCUAGAGUCCGGAAGAGGAGAGUGGAAUUCCUGGUGUAGCGGUGAAAUGCGCAGAUAUCAGGAAGAACACCGGUGGCGAAGGCGGCCCACUGGAUCGGUACUGACGCUGAGGUGCGAAAGCGUGGGGAGCAAACAGG